CGAGCCGGUCAGGCGGCCGCGGCGCGCACUGCGGUGUCGCGUCGAGGAAGGUCCGGACUCCACAGAGCACGGUGGUGGGCAACACCCACCCGGGGUGACCCGCGGGACAGUGCCACAGAAAGCAGACCGCCAGCGGCCGCGGAGGUUACGGCCUCAGCGGUGCGGGCAAGGGUGAAACGGUGGUGUAAGAGACCACCAGCGCCUCGGGCAACCGGGGCGGCUCGGUAAACCCCACCCGGAGCAAGGCCAAAAGGGCCGGCCGUUCGCGGCCGGCCUGCGCAGACGUCUGAGGGCUGCUCGCCCGAGUCCGCGGGUAGGCCGCAGGAGGGCGCCGGUGACGGCGCCCGCAGAUGGAUGGUCGCCACGAUCACCGCAAGGUGACCGACAGAAUCCGGCCUAUCGGCCGGCUCGUCCG
rnacentral:RNase_P_RNA from 2 species